GAUGAACGCUGGCGGCGUGCCUAAUACAUGCAAGUAGAACGCUGAAGGAAGGAGCUUGCUCUUUCCGGAUGAGUUGCGAACGGGUGAGUAACGCGUAGGUAACCUGCCUGGUAGCGGGGGAUAACUAUUGGAAACGAUAGCUAAUACCGCAUAACAGUAUAUGUUGCAUGAUAUCUACUUAAAAGGUGCAAUUGCACCACUACCAGAUGGACCUGCGUUGUAUUAGCUAGUUGGUGAGGUAACGGCUCACCAAGGCGACGAUACAUAGCCGACCUGAGAGGGUGAUCGGCCACACUGGGACUGAGACACGGCCCAGACUCCUACGGGAGGCAGCAGUAGGGAAUCUUCGGCAAUGGACGGAAGUCUGACCGAGCAACGCCGCGUGAGUGAAGAAGGUUUUCGGAUCGUAAAGCUCUGUUGUAAGAGAAGAACGAGUGUGAGAGUGGAAAGUUCACACUGUGACGGUAUCUUACCAGAAAGGGACGGCUAACUACGUG
rnacentral:rRNA from 1 species